rnacentral:pre_miRNA from 1 species
CUCACACCUAUGUGUGUAGGACCCCAAAGGAUCACCAUUAAAUUUGUCACAGAUUUCUAGAAAAGUUAUCAUACAGGUGUGGGACUUGACUUUUCUAGAGAUCUGUGCCAAAUUUAAUGGUGAUCCUUUGGGGUCCUACGCAUAUAGGUGUGGG